rnacentral:misc_RNA from 1 species
CCCUUAUUUCUUUUUUUUUUUUUUCCUUUUCUUUAUUAUUGUUUUAUACUGUUCUCAAUUUUUUUUCUAAGACGCUGGCUAAGGAAGGGGUUUGAGAAGGAUAGACUUCUGGUAAAAUGACUCGUCUCUGGCCAAGCAAUAUAUGUUUUUGAGCUUGUAUUUUCUCAAAUUUUAUUUUUUGUUGCAUAGUUUUAGAAAUUCAUGUAAUCUGUUGAUUCUGUUCUGCAAUUAUUCCCAGAAAUAAUAGAAGAAGCAAAUUUUCGGAAGAAUAUAGGGUCAUCAAUUUGCUGAUAGUUUUUGACCUUAAAAAUUUGGGGGUUAGAAAUGUAGAAUUCUAGUGUCAUCAAUCUUGUUGAAAUCAACAGAAGUUCACUUCCUACUUGUGGAUAGAUUUAAACUGAUCACCAGUUAGGCAAUUGUGAUAUCAGCUGUAGACUUGUUAAACCACUUGUUGUGCCCACUCAAGAGGGGAAGGGGCUACUGAUGCUUUGAGGUCUCCAUGUCAGUUAACUGCAAAUAAAUGUUAACUGACAUUUUUAACCUAUUUUGCUUAAAGGUUCCUGUGUUGUGAAUGUGCAUGCUUUGGGGCAGUGUGAAUGAUUUGAAUUCAACUUCUUGCAUGAGGAUUUGUGUAGACAACAAAUUUUUGCUAGUAAUUAAUUUCCCUUACCAUUCUGUGUUUGUUUGGACAUGAGCAAUCUAUAGCAGUUCAAGUUUGAAGAAGAUUAUUACAUAAUGAGGACAUAAUGCACGUGUGAAAUGAGGGAAUAUGCCUUGUGUAAGGUUAUCUACAAUAACUAAUGCAUCCCACAUCGGUUCUG